rnacentral:rRNA from 1 species
GACGUAGGGCGCAAGCGUUGUCCGGAUUUAUUGGGCGUAAAGAGCUCGUAGGCGGCUUGUCGCGUCGACUGUGAAAACCCGUGGCUCAACCAUGUGGUCUGCAGUCGAUACGGGCAGGCUAGAAUUCGGUAGGGGAGACUGGAAUUCCUGGUGUAGCGGUGAAAUGCGCAGAUAUCAGGAAGAACACCUAUGGCGAAGGCAGCUCUCUGGGACGGUACUGACGCUGAGGAGCGAAAGCAUGGGGAGCGAACAGG